rnacentral:rRNA from 1 species
ACGAGUGGCGGACGGGUGAGUAAUGCUUGGGAACUUGCCUUUGCGAGGGGGAUAACAGUUGGAAACGACUGCUAAUACCGCAUAAUGUCUUCGGACCAAACGGGGCUUAGGCUCCGGCGCAAAGAGAGGCCCAAGUGAGAUUAGCUAGAUGGUGAGGUAAAGGCUCACCAUGGCGACGAUCUCUAGCUGUUCUGAGAGGAAGAUCAGCCACACUGGGACUGAGACACGGCCCAGACUCCUACGGGAGGCAGCAGUGGGGAAUAUUGCACAAUGGGGGAAACCCUGAUGCAGCCAUGCCGCGUGUGUGAAGAAGGCCUUCGGGUUGUAAAGCACUUUCAGUUGUGAGGAAAAGUUGGUAGUUAAUACCUGCCAGCCGUGACGUUAGCAACAGAAGAAGCACCGGCUAACUCCGUGCCAGCAGCCGCGGUAAUACGGAGGGUGCGAGCGUUAAUCGGAAUUACUGGGCGUAAAGCGCACGCAGGCGGUUUGUUAAGCUAGAUGUGAAAGCCCCGGGCUCAACCUGGGACGGUCAUUUAGAACUGGCAGACUAGAGUCUUGGAGAGGGGAGUGGAAUUCCA